ACUCUUUGCCACCCCAUGGACUGUAGCCUGCGGGCUCCUCCAUCCGUGGAAUUAUCCCGUUAAGAAUACUGGAGUGGGUGCCAUUUCCUUCUCCAGAGAAUACUGGAGGGGUUUCCGUUACCUCCCCCAGCGGAUCUUUCUGACCCAGGGAUCGAACCUGUGUUUCUUGUGUCUUCUGCGUUGGCUGGAGGGUUCUUUACCACCAGCACCACCCGAGAAGCCCCACACUGCCGUCAGUUGGUUAAACAUCUCAAGGUAGCUGUUAUGUCUUUUCGGCGUCUUCUCUAACACAUUCUCAUGUGUUUCUGGGCUUCUAAUAGAUAUCUGCUGCAUGUGUGUUACGUGUAAAUCACGGUUCUGGGGGCUUUGGUUACUGAAACGACAGUCACAGAGGCCAUCCUCUGCAUCUUGCGGCUCAGGGUUGGUCCUGUGUCAGCUGGGACAUGGCGCAGGGCCUGCAGCAGAGACCUCAGAUGCGAGAUGAGGUGCAGCUAGCGGUGUCUGUGUGGUCUCCGGGAAGAAGCGCGUGGGACCAGAGUGUGGAGGGUCAGUAGGACUCAGCCGUGUGGGGUGGGGUGGCCGAGAGACCUUGUGGGCAGCAGCAGGCAGGGCUGCCAGCACAUGUGCAGGGCCGGGAGGAGCUUGCUUUCAUGGAGUGAGGCCCCUAUGAAGGCUGUCUCAGUUCCCCGGGCCGCUAUAAUGAAGUGCCACAAGCUGGGUGACUUGAACAACAGAAAUUUACCAUCUUACAGCCUGGAGGCCAGAGGCCUAAAGCUGAGGUUGGGCAGAGCCCUGCCCCUCCCUCUCGCAGUGGCUCCAGCGCCCCGGGCUCGCGGCAGCCUUGUGUGCCCUGCCUCCGUCUUCACAGGGCUGCCUCCCUUACUGUGUCUCUGCGUUUCCAUCUUCUCUUGCUCUAAGGACACUCACCGUGUCGGCCUGGGCUGGCCCCGGUGGAGGGUGAGCUCAUUUUAACAUGCUCACCUCUGCAGAGACUGCAUUUCCAGAUGAAGGCAUGUUCAUCCACAGGAACUGGGGGGUAGGACUCCACCAUGCGUUCUGGGGGGCCACAGUUCAGCACAGCAAGUGGAGAGUGGAAUCCGGUGGGAGGGCGUUCUCGAGGUGACCUCUACUCCUCUGAAAUCCAAGCUGCGAAAUCCAGCCUGUUUCUUAGGCCAGUGGCUCGAAGUCCUGGCUGCUUAUCAGGAACUCCUGGAGAUCUUUUAAAAACGGAGAUGUCACGGUUCUACACAAACCUGUACCUGAUUCCCCUGAGAGCUCCCCUGGUAUUUCUGAUACUCAACCAGGCCUAGAGCCACUCAUCUGGCCGACGAGGACCUGCUGAAGGGCUUCUCCAUCUUACGACGUUGGUUCUAGGACACCUCACGGUCUGGAAGAGCCACAUAAAGUGUUUUCUAGUGUUUCCAUCCGAAAAUGCAGCCCUCCAGAUUGCCCGUCAUCCUCCCAAUGUUGCAUGGCCAGCCCAUGCCCGGGGUGGGCUUCCCCUAUAGAUAUGGUUCAGGGGGCUCCCCUUCACAGUAGCCAGGUCUGCUCUUGGCUCCAGGUCGAGUCUGUGGUCGAUUGAAACUCUUCCCACGUCUUUUCCACACGAAUGGCUGUAAAUCCAGGUUUUCCCAGCCGCUAUUUGUGCAAUCGAUUCUUGGCUCCUAAAUGCUGGCCUUGACACAUAUCUCUGUUUAAUUUCAUCUUGUGGCUUUAGUCAAGUGUUCCAGCCUGUCGGGGCCUCUGUAGUUCAAGUCUAUCGUUUAUCUUGUUAGCUACAUCUCAUAAGUCUGUCAUCUGCAGAUUGGAUAAGCGUGUCUUUUCUGGCUUCACCCAAAUUGCUGUGAAACAGGUUGAAUAUGUCCCAGAGAGAGAGACAUGAUACUCCUCCAGAGACAGGUCUCCAGCGGCAAACACCGUCAGUAAGCAGUUCGUAAAUCAGCUGUUGCAUCCACCCAGUUCUUAGCCCAGCCAUAUUUUAUUCCCAGAGAAUUCUUCGAAACUUCUGUAUUGAGGAGGUGCUGCAGACUUACAAUUAGUCCCUGAAGUACAAGUCAAGAAGACCAGAGAGUGGCCGCAAGUCUGACUGGGGGCCGUGCAGACAUCAGUUGGGCUGCACCCAGGAAACUCAGGCCACAGACAAAGGGUUUUUAUUGUCAACUUUGAACCAAAACCAGUCAGUGAGUCAGCAAAGCACCAGAUGACUCUGUGCUGAGCAACAGAUUCAGAGUCCACAUAAGCACAAUUUUUUAAGCUAGAAGCUCUAGCAUGGUAUCAAGGUUGCUACAAUUCCAAACUCUAUUUAAGCUAAAAAAUAUACCAGGAAGGUUCAGCUGGGCUUAGGGAUCCUUUCCUGAGGUCCUGCUGUGUGCUUGGCAUGGUCUUCGUGCUCUGCAGUAUAUUCACGUGUUACCUCCUGGGGCAGCAGCAGGACACGAAGGCAGGUGGGAUGGGGCCUUCAGAGGGUAAGAUGGAGAUCCAGCCACCCAGCUGUGUGGACGCAUAAGGUGAGGAGUUCAGGCUCCUGAGAAGGACAUAUCUGCUUCAAACAUUAGCACUUCGNNNNNNNNNNNNNNNNNNNNNNNNNNNNNNNNNNNNNNNNNNNNNNNNNNNNNNNNNNNNNNNNNNNNNNNNNNNNNNNNNNNNNNNNNNNNNNNNNNNAGUUCAGGCUCCUGAGAAGGACAUAUCUGCUUCAAACAUUAGCACUUCGGUUGAUUGCGGUGUGACCUCUAAAUUCAUUAACUUCUCUGAGCCUCAUCCUGGCCAUGAGUCAAGGGUUGACCAGAACAGAAGCCAAACUAAUGAGAUUGUGAAGAUGAGAUGAGAUGUGUGGAAAGAGUCUGACUUAGGAGCGGGCCCUGCAUAUAGUCUCUUCUAUGAAGGUUUGACAAAUAAAGGUAAUAGGAGGUGACUCUUACUAGUCAAAGCUAAGGUUUUUCCAGUGGUCAUGUAUGGAUGUGAGAGUUG
rnacentral:lncRNA from 1 species